rnacentral:rRNA from 1 species
AGCUCGUACUCCCCGAAAUGCAUUUAGGUGCAGCGUCGUGGUUAUUGUUAUAGAGGUAGAGCUACUGAUAGGGCUAGGGGGCUUCACCGCCUACCAACCCCUGACAAACUCCGAAUGCUAUCAAAUAUACACGGCAGUGAGGGCGUGGGUGCUAAGGUCCACGUCCGAGAGGGAAAGAACCCAGACCAUCAGCUAAGGUCCCAAAAUGUAUACUAAGUUGAAUGAACGAGGUCAAGCUGCUUUGACAGCUAGGAUGUUGGCUUGGAAGCAGCCAUUCAUUUAAAGAGUGCGUAACAGCUCACUAGUCGAGCGGCAUGGCAUGGAUAAUAAUCGGGCAUAAGUAUACCACCGAAGCUAUGACUUUGUCUUAUGACAAGGGGUAGGGGAGCAUUCUAUGGGCAUUGAAGGUGCUGGCGUGAGCCGUGCUGGAGCGCAUAGAAACGAAAAUGUAGGCAUAAGUAACGAUAAUGCGGGCGAGAAACCCGCACGCCGAAAGACCAAGGUUUCCCCAGCUAUGCUAAUCAGCUGGGGGUCAGUCGGGACCUAACGCGAACCCGAACGGGGUAGUGGAUGGACAAUCAGUUAAUAUUCUGAUACCUGCUCACAUUAAAAGUGACGGGGAUGAGGCGUUGGUGCGAAGAGACGGAAUUCUUCGUUGAAGGUAGUGGAAGCUACUGAUAGUACACUGAGGCUUCGGCCAAGGUGAUAAUCCAGCUUAUCAUCCUCCAAGAAAAACAAGUGAAGCAGCCCGUACCGUAAACCGACACAGGUGGUUGGGAUGAGUAUUCUAAGGCGCUCGAGAGAUUCAUGGCUAAGGAACUAGGCAAAAUAGACCCGUAACUUCGGGAGAAGGGUCGCCCCCUGUAUGGGGGGCCGCAGUGAAGAGGUCCAGGCGACUGUUUAUCAAAAACACAGGGCUCUGCAAAAUCGAAAGAUGACGUAUAGGGCCUGACACCUGCCCGGUGCUGGAAGGUUAAGUGGAGAUGUUAGCUUCGGCGAAGCAUUUAAAUGAAGCCCCAGUAAACGGCGGCCGUAACAAUAACGGUCCUAAGGUAG